UAACAAGGUUUCCGUAGGUGAACCUGCGGACCAGCAGAGAGACCUGUGAACACGUGUUUAACAUGAACGAUGUCUCGUCGGGCUGACGACGAGUUGAAACAUAACCAAAAACAACUCUCAGCAACGGAUAUCUUGGCUCUUGCAACGAUGAAGAACGCAGCGAAAUGCGAUACGUAGUGUGAAUUGCAGAAUUCCGCGAAUCAUCGAGUCUUUGAACGCAAGUUGCGCCCGAGGCUUGUCCGAGGGCAUUUCCGCUAGAGCGUCACCGCGCCCCCCACCGAUCCGCUCCCGCCGCGAGGCGCCAGUCGGGUCGAGUGCAAGUGGCCGUCCCGGCGAAGUGGCCUUCUUUCACGAGGAGUCCGUACUUGGAAGGGUCGGCUGAGAUGGAUGGAAUUGGGCCGCCGUGGUGACACAGUCCGCGAUCGGGUGAUUUUGUCGCGAGCCUCCCCCGGGAGGCUCUUGGUGAAUUUUUCUAAGUGGUUGGCUGCGUCCCCCAGUUGGCUCGGGUUACCUCAUGCAGGUCGAGCGCGCCCCCGCGGCGCGCGUCACGCAUCAGACCUCUAAUCGGAAAAGACUACCCGCUGAG
rnacentral:rRNA from 1 species